AAUAAUGCUACCUAUCAGAUUAUGCUACCAACACUGUAUUUAUCCUUCUGUAAGGGUAGGUUUAGGGUUGGGGUAGGUGUACGUGUUAAUAAAGCCUCACACCUUAUUAAUAUCAUGCUGGAAGCAAAAUCUGAUAGGUAGCACUUUUUGCUAUCGAAUUAUGCUACCAAACUCCACCAUAACGAAUGCUUAACCAACCCCACAACUAGACCUAUCCUUAACACGGUCUCCACCCCACCCUCCGGUCUGAGGCCGCUGCUGUGCUGACUGACAGUACGGCUAUUCGCCACACAAGAGAACAACAACGCGUCAAUCACACAUCUGCAAGCUUACCUCAGCACACGGACAUUCUCCAUCACCCAGUCUUUGGAGGGGUCAGUGCAAAUGUUCCUGCCUCUUAUUGUGUGGAAUCUGUGAGACUCGUCCUGACGUCAUCUGCGCUGCUGCUGUUGCUGUGUGUCUGGGUCAGCCUGAGUCAAAGCAGUCCGGUAAGGUGCUGUACCAAGUAUUCAUCACAGCCUUUCCCUGUCCUCCGACUGAAAGACUUCACCCGACA